GCCGGCAUAGCUCAGCUGGUCAGAGCAACUGUCUUGUAAACAGUGGGUCGUGGGUUCGAAUCCCUCUGCCGGCUCCA
rnacentral:tRNA from 1 species